AGAAGCCUGUGCAGCAGUUGGGACCUCAGAGAGAAACCUGUAACUACGAACUAGGAGAGAAGCGAGUAGGGAGAGAAGACCGAUGUGCAUCUCAAGCCAGCCACUGCCCCCUUUCAAAGGUGAACACAGUAAAAUUUACAACAGGUGUGCUAUCAGAUCCCAGAGGGGCAUAAAAGCAGGAGGGCGAGAGGUAACUCAGCCAUCUGUGGAAGGAAGCCGGUUACUCAGAGGCCCCAGACACCUACACCACUGAGGGAUGGAGCUGUGCCCAGGUGUGUCCCCGGUGGGACUGCUGCUGCUGCUGCUGCUACUGCUGGGACAAGGGCCCUCCCAAAUCCAUGGCUCUUCUGGAGAGACCACAUUGGCAUGGCAGUCCCAGCAAGUGUUUUGGACCCUGAAGAAUUUUCCAUUCCCUUGCAAGCCAAAGAAGUUAGAAUUGAGUGUGCUUUCUGAGUCAGUUCACACUCUGAGACCCUCAGACAUUAAACUCGUGGCAGCCAUCGGCAACCCAGAAACUCCUCUAGCCCCUGGGUCUGGCACGAUCAACAUGGAGAAACCUCAAAGCAUCAAGAACAAACCACAGGAUGUAUGCAUGGGAAUCAUGACAGUUCUUUCAGAUAUCAUCAGACAUUUCAGUCCUUCUGUCCUGAUGCCCACGUGUUCUCCUGGGAAGGGCACUGCAGUCCACACUACUGCUGAAGACUUGUGGAUUCAGGCUAAAGAGCUGGUGAGGCGCCUGAAGGACAACCCGCAACUUGACUUUGAGAAGGACUGGAAACUCAUAACUGUGUUUUUCAGUAACACAAGCCAGUGUCACCUGUGUCCCUCUGCUCAGCAGAAAAGGCACUUGGUGAAGCACAUGGAGAUGCUGGGGGGCGUGCUGGAUUACCUGCAUCAUGAGGUCCCCAGAGCAUUUGUGAAUUUGGUGGAUCUCUCUGAGGUUUUGGCCAUGACUCUUCAGCAUCAAGAAACUGUCUUCAGCCCUGCACCAGAGGUUUGCAAAUGCUCAGAGGAGACAACGACAUUAUCCAAAGCUGUCAUGCAGUGGUCCUAUCAGGAAGCCUGGGAAGAUCUCCUGGCCUCUAGCAAGUUCAACAAGCAUGAGACCUUCUCGGUGGUUUUCCAGCCUUUCUUCUUUGAAAUUGAACCACCCUUGAAAUGGUCCUCGCCGCAGGAUCCUACCACACUCGCCCUCAGGAUCUGGAAUAGCAUGAUGGAACCAGUGGGUCAAAAGGAUGGGCUACUCAAUGCUGCAGAGAGAAAGACAAUGAAAUGUCCCUCUCAGGAGAGUCCCUAUCUGUUCACCUACAAAAAUAGCAACUACCAGGCCAGACGACUGAAACCCAUAACAAAGCUUGCGGCGAAGGAAGGAUCAGAAUUCACCUGUCCUGACAAGGACCCCUCGGACUCAGUCCCCACAACAGUUCACAGCUUGCGGCCGGCUGAUAUCAAGAUCAUAGGAGCACUGGGCGACUCUCUCACGGCAGGCAAUGGAGCUGGGUCCAGCCCUUGGAAUAUCUUUGAUGUCUUAACUGAAUACCGAGGCCUGUCCUGGAGUGUGGGCGGGGAUGAGACCAUCAAAACCGUGACCACCCUACCCAACAUUCUCCGGGGAUUCAACCCCUCCUUGAAGGGCUUCUCUGUUGGCACUGGGAAAGAAAACACUCCCCGAGCAUCCUUCAACCAGGCCGUAGCAGGAGCCAAAUCUAAUGACUUAGCUGAUCAGGCCAGAAAGCUGGUGAACCUGAUGAAGACAGACACGAAAGUAAACUUUCAGGAAGACUGGAAGAUAAUCACUGUGUUUAUAGGAGGCAAUGACCUCUGUGCUUCCUGCCGUGACCCGAGUCGCUUUUCUCCCCAAAACUUCGUAGACAACAUCAAGAAUGCCCUGGACAUCCUCCAUGCAGAGGUUCCCCGGGCCUUUGUGAACAUGGUAAAGGUGAUGGAGAUCUCCCCCUUGAAAGAACUGUUCAAUGAACCUACAGUCUCAUGCCCACGGCAAAUCCUCAGCCAACUGUGUCCUUGUGUCCUGGGCGUUGGUGAUAACGCAGAAGAACUUUCCAGCCUCAUUGAAAGGAACAGGCAGUAUCAGAAGAAAACUGAAGAGCUCAUUGCUAGCGGACGAUAUGACACAAGGAAUAAUUUCACUGUGGUUGUCCAGCCCUUAUUUGAAAAUGUGUCCAUGCCACGGACCCCGGCGGGCGUGCCCGACAGCUCUUUCUUUGCCCCUGACUGUUUCCACUUUAAUGCCAAGACUCAUGCCCGCUCAGCCAUUGCCCUCUGGAAGAACAUGCUGGAACCUGUGGGCCACAAGACAAGACAAAAUAAUUUUGAAAUCAAGGCCCCUAUCGUGUGUCCGAACCAGGCCUCGCCAUUUCUGAGCACUACCAAGAACAGCAACCUGGGUUAUGGAACCUGGAUGGUUUGCAAAGAGAGAGCCCCUUCUGCCUCACCACCAACCUCAGUGCAUACCCUGAGACCUGCAGACAUCCAAGUUGUGGCAGCUCUGGGAGACUCUCUGACUGCUGGCAAUGGAAUCGGCUCCCAAGAGGGUAACCUCGCCGAUGUCUCCACACAGUAUCGAGGACUGUCCUUUAGUGCUGGUGGGGACAAGUCCCUGGAGGACGUGACCACUUUGCCCAAUAUCCUACGGGAAUUUAAUGGAAAUCUCAAGGGCUACUCAGUAGGAACCGGUGACUCCAGUUCUCCAAGCGCUUUCCUUAACCAGGCUGUCCCUGGGGCGAAGGCUGAGAACCUUGCAAGCCAAGUCCAGACUCUGGUUCAGAAGAUGAAGAGUGAUAGCAGAGUGAACUUCAGACAAGACUGGAAGGUCAUCACGGUGAUGAUCGGCGCCAGUGACUUGUGUGACUUCUGCACAGAUUCGAAUCAUUACUCUGCAGCCAAUUUUUAUGACCAUCUCCAGAAUGCCUUGGACAUUCUACAUAAGGAGGUACCCAGAGCCCUGGUCAACCUUGUGGACUUCAUUAACCCCAGUAUCAUUCGGGAAGUGUUCCUGAAGAACCCAAACAAGUGCCCAAUGAAUCAGAUCAGUGUCCUGUGCAACUGUGUUCUGACCCCGAGGAAGGAUUCCCAUGAGCUGGCAAAGUUGGAGGCCUUCAUCAAAUCCUACCAGAGUAGCAUGCUCCAACUGGUUGAGUCAGGCCGCUACGACACUCGAGAGGACUUCUCUGUGGUACUGCAGCCCUUUCUCCUCAACAUCAAGCUCCCUGUCCUAGAGAAUGGGAAUCCAGAUACAUCCUUCUUUGCCCCAGACUGCAUCCACCUGAACCAGAAGUUCCACACUCAGCUCGCGAGAGCCCUUUGGGCCAACAUGCUUGAACCCCUGGGAAACAAAACUGAUACUUUGGACCCAAAAGGAUACCUAACUUUGGCCUGUCCUACCAAGGACGAGCCCUUCCUGAGAACCUUCCGGAACAGUAACUACAAGUACCCUACCAAGCCGGCCGUUGAGAACUGGGGCAGUGACUUCCUGUGCACAGAGAAGAGCCCUUCCAGCCAGGUACCCACCUCAGUUCAUGAGCUCCGACCAGCAGACAUCAAGGUGGUGGCAGCAAUGGGUGACUUUCUGACUACAGCCACGGGAGCUCGGCCAAGGGGAUCCAAAAGUCUAGCCACGCCCUGGAGGGGGCUGUCUUGGAGCAUUGGAGGAGAUGGAAAGUUGGAGACUCAUACCACACUUCCCAACAUCCUGAAGAAGUUCAACCCUUCCAUCAUUGGAUUCUCUACUGGUACCCUGGACAAAAUGGCAGGAUUAAAUGUGGCAGAAGAAGGAGCCAGAGCUCAGGACAUGCCGGCCCAGGCUCGGACCCUGGUGAAGAGGAUAAAAGGCACACCUAAAAUCAACCUACAGGAAGACUGGAAGCUGAUUACACUCCUCAUUGGAAACAACGACCUGUGUCUUUACUGUGAGAAUCCGGAGGACAACUCAACUAAAGAGUAUGUCAAGUACAUCCAGCAAGCCUUGGACAUCCUCUAUGAGGAGCUUCCCAGAGUUUUCAUCAAUGUGGUAGAAAUCAUGGAGCUGGCUGGCCUGCACCACGCCCAAGGAAAAACUGCAGUUGCUUAAGACACUCCCAAAACCUCACAGCGAUGCAGGAGCUGAAGAAACUAAACUGGAACCUCCAGAGCGGCGUCUCGGAGCUGUCCUAUUGGCACCGGUACGUGGAGCGUGAGGACUUUGCAGUCACUGUGCAGCCUUUCUUCCGGAAUACCUUUUUCCCACUGAAUGAGCGUGGGGGCCUGGACCUCAGUUUCUUCUCUGAAGACUGUUUCCACUUCUCAGAACGUGGGCAUGCAGAGAUGGCCAUGGCCCUCUGGAAUAACAUGCUGGAACCAGUGGGCUGGAAGACAUCCUCCAGUAACUUCAUAUACAACAGAACCAAACUCAAGUGUCCCUCACCUGAAAGUCCUUUCCUCUACACCCUCCGGAAUAGUCAGCUUCUUCCACGCAAGGCUGAAGAGCCCUCCAGUGCACUCUCCUGGGCAGUGCCAGUGGCAGCGAUAGGUGGUCUGGGAGUUGGCAUCCUUGGGAUGAUGUUGUGGAAAAUGGUGAAACCCAUCAAACGGGACGAGGAGGAGGAGGACACUCUUCCGAAUACAAGUGUGACCCAGGACGCUGCAUCAGAAAAGAGGCUCAAAGCUGAGGCCUAGCUACGGAACCGUAACUAAGUAACCUCAGGGAUGGGCACUGCCUGCCUUCCUCUCCUGGGAGUUCAUGAUCUCUUUUUGGAACGAUAAAAAACAAAGAAGGGCCACACUCAGUGUCCAUGUUCUUCUGGGCUUCUGUUGAAAGAUGGUGUGGCGUUACCUGCAGACUAUCUGUAGUUCUUGGUCUAUUUGAAACAAAAGUAGGUCUCAUCUUUACGCUUGGAUUCCAUCCUCAGGGCAUGUCAAUUACAUAUAUACAAACACUACAUACAUAUACAUAUAUUACAUAUACAUAUACAUAUACAUAUACACAACUACUCAAAAAGUACAGAAUCCAAAACAUUCAGAUCUGAUACAUUGAACGAGAACCUGUAUACACUGGAGGUGUUCCAUGUCCUUUCAGGUAAACAGUGUAGUUACGACUACAACAGUGAAUUGUUUAGCUGCUCUGAGUUCCUCUCAGGUGGAAGCAUGUCUCCACACCUGCCCAAGAGCUCUAGAUUCACGAAUGAAAGACAUGCACCCACAACCUUUAUAUUUAAUAAGCCUUAACUUGUUCAAUGGCUGGAUCACUCCUGGCCUCCCUGCGGCUAGCACUCACUCCUCAGGAUUCCUGAGUUAACAUUUUCUAAACCUAUAUUUUAUCUUUGCUACCUGGGACCCAAUCAGGGGAGUGGCCCCUGGGGCUUCUUCCCUGACUCUUACAUGUCAGCAGGCUCUUAAGUCUGAUCUUUCUGCUUCCUCAUCAUGGCAAUUCUGCCCCAAUUCUCUCCUCUGCAUUUCUUGCCUUGGAAUCCUAAAAGUCCCACCUCUCUGUCCCCACCCAACCAUCGGCUAUUGGCUCUUUAUUGAUCAAUCAAAAACCAAUUAGGGACAGGGACAGCAUCUGAACAUGGAGAUUCCCGUGAGAUUUGGAGAGCUGAAUUAAGACAAAGCAUUAAAAGCAAUCCCCAACACAGGAUUAUGCCCAAAGCCACGUCAUGAACAAAGCCAGUAAUUUCCAGGGAAGUUGUACACCCCGUAGAGGGUUUUAAAUUCAUAAAGGAAAGAUUAGGGUGGAUUAAACCUAGUCAAAAAUCCUUCAUCAAGGCUUUUGGAACGCCAAUUGAGCUCUGAAAGAUGGAGAGAUAAUCUUGUUAGAGGCCCAGGGGGAAUAGAGCCAUUAAGACCGGUAAUUCCAUGUAGGUGGAGAAAGGGUGUACCUGAUCUGGGGCAGAUGUGCUUAUGAGGACUGAGGAGUCAGCUGCUCCAUCAAAGGACAACUGUGGAAAAGACAAGGGGUCAGCAGGGAUCUGUGGUUACGAUGGUGGCAGUAUUAGGCUGCCUCUGGGGCCUCAAAGGGAAAUGUUCUAAAGAAGGUCGAGGUGUUGGGCUAUCACUCAGCAGCACAGCACUUGCCCAGCAUGAGUGGCUUGAAUCCCUUGCACCAUAUAAGCCAGAAGCGAUGGCACAUAGCUAUAGGAAAUAACAGAAAGGAGAAUCAGAAUUUCAAGAACAUCCUUGGCUAAGUCAGUGAUUUCAAGACAAGCCUGAGCUAUGUGAGACCCUGAAAGGAGAUAUGGUGUGGGAGCGAGGAGGCGGAAAGAAGAAAAGAAAACUGACAUCAUUCUAGCACCAGUACCAGGCCACGCAGGCACCCUUGUACAUAAUAACACCCCUUCCUGUCAUUACUGGCUUUGUACGCAGAAAGAGACCAAGAUGGAGGGAAGAAAGAAAUGACUCGGUUAUGUUUUCCUUACACAGUGGAACAUUAACCCACCGUAUAAGAACAACCUCCAAAUAGAGAAUGGCCACCAAGUUCCACCAUGAAUUGAACCCAACUGCAAAUGAAUAGUCUAUAAAAUCUAGAAAGUCGGGCAUGACUAAUAUCAUGACAGCUCUAUCGCUCCCCUGGGCAGAAGAACUCACCUGAUUACUAAUCCGUGAUUUGUGGGAAAACUGCUAAUUAAGGUCAAAGUCUACCAUUGGCCAGAUAGCCUUCUGGGGCUUGCCACAUAAUGGGGGACUCCUCUUUUAGCAGAGUUUUUUUCUUCUCUGACCUUGUCUGGAGAAUUCUAAGCCCCAACACUGGCCUCUACCUGAGGAAUGUCAUUGGUUUAUAGGAUCAGUUUCUUUCUCUUGACAAAACCUGUUCAGCCAGCACCUGAGAUUCCUAGAAUGCUUCCCUAUGCUAAGGGGCAUUCUAGGUGCCCUGAAUCCCCAGCCAAUGACCUUUAACCAUCCUGGGUGUCCCUACCUUCAGUCUCCCAAAAUUUUAUAAGCCUUCAGUCACUCUAAGUAAAGUUGAUCUGAGUAC